UACAGAGGUCCCAAGCGUUGUUCGGAUUUACUGGGCGUAAAGGGUGCGUAGGUGGUGGGGUAAGUCGGAUGUGAAAUCUCCGAGCUCAACUCGGAAAGUGCAUUGGAAACUACCCUGCUCGAGGGUUGGAGGGGGGACUGGAAUACUUGGUGUAGCAGUGAAAUGCGUAGAUAUCAAGUGGAACACCAGUGGCGAAGGCGAGUCCCUGGACAACUCCUGACACUGAGGCACGAAAGCUAGGGGAGCAAAC
rnacentral:rRNA from 1 species